GACGUAGGGCGCGAGCGUUGUCCGGAUUUAUUGGGCGUAAAGAGCUCGUAGGCGGCUUGUCAAGUCGGGUGUGAAACCUCCAGGCUCAACCUGGAGACGCCACUCGAGACUGUCAUGGCUAGAGUCCGGUAGGGGAUCACGGAAUUCCUGGUGUAGCGGUGAAAUGACGCAGAUAUCAGGAGGAACACCGGUGGCGAAGGCGGGUCUCUGGGCCGAUACUGACGCUGAGGAGCGAAAGCGUGGGGAGCGAACAGG
rnacentral:rRNA from 1 species